rnacentral:rRNA from 1 species
AGCGCAGGCGGUUUUUUAAGUCUGAUGUGAAAGCCCUUGGCUCAACCAAGGAAGUGCAUCGGAAACUGGAGAACUUGAGUGCAGAAGAGGACAGUGGAACUCCAUGUGUAGCGGUGAAAUGCGUAGAUAUAUGGAAGAACACCAGUGGCGAAAGCGGCUGUCUGGUCUGUAACUGACGCUGAGGACUCGAAAGCGAUGGGUAGCGAACA